AGCAAAUGUUUUAUUUAAUAAGUUAUAAGAUACAAUUUACAGUCGGCGUUUGAUUCCAGUUUGGCUUCCGUGUCCCAGCUUACAACACCCGUGGUCCUUUCACAUCAGGCUCCGGGCUGUUCCACUUUCUGUAGGGUGGGCUUUUACCCCCAACACUCGCCCCAGAUACUACACCUGCCACAAGAGUGGCCACUUCCUCAGGACUAAGCAGCAAAACCUAAAGGUCUGCCUGCCCAGACCACACUACACAUUUGGGCUCAGGCAACGUCCCUGACACUUUAACCUCAUUCCAAAGCCAGCUCAGGUCUGCAGGAAGGCAGGCAAAAUUCCCUACACCUCAUUUCUGGAUUUCUGCACCACACAGCUCUCACUGUUUCUGCCAAUGGUGAAAAGACCACCAAUAAGCUGCUGCCCUUCUCUCCCCCAACCAUUCCCAACUUUCAGGCCAAAGACCCGCAGGAGUUUCAUUCUGUCCUGUCUGUACAGAUCAUUAUUUUCCAGAAAAAGUGACCCAUGAAGUUGGCUGGGGCGGGUGUGGAGUGUUAUGUCAUGGGACGGACCUUGGGAUGAGGGCGUUAAUCCAUGGGCCCCUCUGAGAUCACUUUAAACAUUUUGGUAAGACUGCCCAGGCUGAUGAAGGGCUGGAGCGUGUGUUAAAAACAAGGGCUAGUGUUGGUUAAAAGGGAUCUUUGGCAAGUGGGAAACUGCUCGCCACUGCAGAAUUUCUUCAGACCAAGGAAGGGACUGAAACGGACUUGGAAAACUAAAGCAAAACCAUGACUGCCGGGAUGGUCUCGUGUGGUGAUUCUGCAAGAAAUAAUCACCAGAGCGAGGGGACAGGUACUUGAGAGACAUGUGGGCCUGGCUGCCACUCUGCCCUCUGAGUUUCUGUAGGGUGCCCGGCUGCCACUCUGCCCUCUGAGAAGUGUAAGAAGGCCACAGAGCAUGGGGGUGUUGGCGAUGAGGAGCGGUAAAGCAGUGCUAGUGAUCUAAUAGCCAAAUACAUUAACACGGACACUGGAAGAGAUUAAGCGGAUUUUAAGUCAUCUCCUUUGCCAAAUGACAACCAAACUAGGUGUCCCCUUUUUCUCUGCCCAUCUUCCCCUAGCCUUGUUUCAUAAAUGCUGAAGAGUGAACCAGCAGCUCAGGCUAGCCAGUUUUGUUUUUUUGAAAUGUCAGUCUCAUUGUGUUCCUGGUCUGUCUGCUGCAGUGGCUGGUCUGUUCCACCAAGAGUUCUGGUUUGCACCUAGUGUACUCAGGAUCUUCUCAGCCCCCUGAACAAGCUUGCAUUUCUUAAGAUUCUCCAAUAUGUCCCUCAAGAGUCCAGUCUAGGACUUAUUUCUGAAGGCAUUUUACAACAGCAAUAUUUUAGGGAUGGGGUUUCAGCCCCACAAACAGGCUGGAGGGCUUUGUAUAAAAUGAAUUACAAACAAGCAACAAAAGCAACCACAAGAACUCUCUCCAGGAUUUGAGAAAACUGUUUUAAGGCACUGUGACAUGAAAAGGGCUGCCAGGGAUGUGUUCCUCCCCCCACUUCACAGCCAGCACAUAAUCGCCCCUCUCCUUGACGACGUAUGUGACGUUGUAUUGCUGGUUGCCUACAUGCUUCAUGGAGACCUCCUCGCAGGGGGUGGUGGGCCCAUGGACCCCGAUCAGCAGCAUGUUGGAGCCUAGGAGGCAAAAGGUGGUUACUCCACCCGGAUGCAUCAGGACAGGCACAGGAAGAAGAGGAAAUAUGAGAGCCAAAGGAAAGGAAGCAGAGGCACAGUGAAGUCAGAUAAUUCAUCUGGAGUCACACAGCUGGGGACCAGCAGAACUGGGAUUUAAACAUAAAGUCUGUCCAACUUGGAGCUAAAGCACUUACCUGAGAGAAGAUGGAAGGAAAAAAAUCCACAAGCAGAAGUCUCUCACCACUGCCUCUAGCUAUAACCUGUAUCUGACACCACAAAACAUCUCUGGGCGUGGCGGUCUUCCCCCACCCCCUCAAAUAUGUCCAGCUCAGUUCCUGUGAGUUUAAUGCAUGUUAAACGCAGCACUGCUUGUUCUUCAAGGCAGUUAAGGAAGGAGGCCCUUCUGGUAUACCCCGAGCACACUGGGGUUCCUGGACCAUUUCAUUAGGAAAAUUGCUCAGCGGCUCCAAAGAAUCUGGAGCUCCCUGGUCUAUCUCCCAGCCUCUCAAGCCGCCUCCAGCAGGGUCCCGCCCCAAAUUCUCCACAUUCCCCUACUCCAAAAUCUACAGAAUGGACCAUUUAAAGCUUGAGCCAAGAGAUACAGCAAACUCACCCAUUAAAAACAGAGGGAGGUUUGCUUUGUUCAGAAGGUCAGGAUACUGGGCGCUCUGGCGGCCAAGCACAGAUACCUUUUCAUUCCAUGCACACUGCAGCUGUGUAAUCUCAGAAUGGAUAUUUAGGGAAAGGCUUGGGAGCAGGAGGGCUGGAAAAACAAGGCGCCUUCCCUGUGACAAGAGCAAUAUUUACACAGGGUUUGAAGCAGGCGGUUCUGUACCUCUCCCCUCCUGGCUAGGAGCUUCCCUGCAAGAGCAACUCCUUCUCUCAGCAGCGUCCAGCACUUGCAGAGCACAGCCUGAAACCCAAGCUCCCAAAAAGGUGUGCGAACAGCCAAAAGGAAAUGGGAGAGGGCCCAGGCACAGCGGCAUGAGCCAGCAGGAGGGUGAGAUGCUUCCUGGCCAGUGUGGGAGACCCCAGCAGCUGCUGUGAGGCCUGGCCUGAAGCCUGCCACGCGCUCCAAGUGCCGAGAGGACCCCACCUGGGCCCUCAAAGGUGAGUACCUUGUCAGGGCCCAAGUGCCAGCACUGCUGCCUGGAAAGUACUCCUGAGUGGCUGGGAGGACAGGGGUCCUGGUUUAGGACAUCCCCAAAGUGGGCUGGGGAUGCAGUCACUGCCUCUGGGUGAGCCAGCCACUUAGAGAGGGGGCCAAGCUCGGGGGUUCAGCGCAUAGGCUCUGAGGUCACGGAUGUAGACUGAUUCCUGGUUCUGCCUCCUCCCAGCUGACUGCUUUUUGGGGGAGUGUUGUUUGGGGAGUGACUCAACCUCUGCAUCUCACUUUCCACAUCUGUAAAAUGGACAUCACUUACGGUAAAAUGAUACCAUGCCUUUCACAAAAGGCAAGCCGCAGGCCCAGAGUUCAGCGUGGAGCCGGGCUGGAUUUGCCUGGGGAGUCUGGCAGCACUCACACCACCCCUGUGGGUGGCUUUGCUGAGGCCACUGCUUUGGCCAGAGUCCCGGGCAGCCUGCCAGCCCACCAGUCACUCCUGCACCCGGAGAGGGCCCCUUGGCCACACAGGUCACUUGCUCCUAGGGCUGGAUGCCAGGCAACCAUGCAGCCACUCACCCCUCACCCCUGGGAGGCAAGUCUGCUCCAUCCCACUCUCCUUAUGCGGGGUGGGGGUACACACACAAGAGACUCAAGAAACCAGGACAUACUGCUUUCCCAAGAGGGUCCAAAGUAACACCAAAUGCAAACAUGCCCCAGUGAGUCCACACUGCGCACUUCCCCUGCAAAGACUAAGGACUGACUCUCCACCCUGGCAGCCUCCAUAACAGUGACGCACUCACUGCGCACCACCCGAUGCCACCUGUUCAAAUAACUGCGAUUCACAGCAGGAAUUCUCACUACAGCCAGGAAAAGGAGGGGAAGAUCUGUUCUGACAUGGAAAGAUCUUUAAGAUGUCAAAGCAAAAACACAAGCUAUACCACACAGUGGAUACAGUAAGAUUCUUUCUGUAAGACAAAAGCAAAACUCUGUGUCUGCUUGUCUAAUGAACCAAUUAGCUAACCAACCCAGCAACCAAGAAUGAAGACAGACAAUGAGAUGACAGACAGGGUGAAGGUCCUCCCUUCCCAGAGCCGUUUGCUUCCAGACCCAGGUGGGGGAGGAGGAGAGAAGAUGGAGUGAGUCUCACUUUAUUUACUUCUUCACUGCCUGUAUCUUUCAUAAUCAAACAUGUCCCAUCUGUGGCAAAGAAUAAAAGUAAAUUGUAACGGGUCUAAAAAGCUUCAGAAUUCUUUGAACAUUUCAGUCUUUUCUCCUCCUCCAUUAAGAUCUGAGAGUAAAAAGAGGAGGAGAUAGGCUGGGACAGGUCUUAUUGCUGCUUCAGUGCAUUUCUGGGAGCCUGGUACCAUGAAAGAACAGACGGGUAGGAGCCCACUUGGACGCAUCAUGAAUUCUGUGCAGGCAAAGAAACCCUCAAAAUUAAUGACACUGUGCUGUGUUCCCUGACUAUCAGCAUCCUGUUCUGAAAGUCAAGAAACUUGGCAGAGGAAGGAAUCUGAAUCACAACUAACAGUAAUGAGGUGUGAUAACACGGCCAUCGAGCUCUCACUCUGGAUUUAUCGUGGGUCAAACCGCAACUCCCAAAACAGCUUUGGACAGCAAGCGCCUCCGAAGUGUGCAUGACCCCAGUUUCCACGGGGAGUACGUGUAAAAAGCUUUCAUGGGGCUUGAGGAUUUCCAUCUGGCUUGGUCCCUGGAGCUGGUUCAGUUAAGGCUUCAAGAAGCAGAAGAGUGGGUUACCUGUGGUGCCCCCUUCGAGUCCCGUGCCAUAGGCGGACACCAGGGCAGGGUUCCCCGCUUGUCCAGGCUCCCCAACGCGCACUUUGAAGGGGCUUCCAACCACGUGGCUCCCAUUGAACUUGACAUCGAUGGUGUGGACACCAUUCUCAUGAGGGAUGAAGCGAACAGCAUACUUAUCUAGGAGAAUGAGCAAAGGCACAGGGUGAAAUCAAGCAAAUGGACACCCCUGAGUUCAGUGAGGAUAAAGGAUGGAGGCCAAGCUGAGAUGGCCCAUUUAAAAUCAACAGUUCUACAGGGAGCCUGGCACUCAGCAUCCUGGAUUUCAGAACCAGACAGACCCCCUGGGUAUCCCUCAUCAGCCCCAAGGGAAACGCAUCCACAUUGCAAAUCCUAUAAACACAGGACAAGACUCUGACCCCUGCCUCAGAAGAACACUUCCUUUCUUUAGAAAACCUCACUUCUUCAGUGUGAAAUUCUGUGAAUGCUGUUACUAAUCCUGUCACGAGAUGAAUCUCAUUUCACCAAAAUUAAAUUAUGUUUUUCCACUAAAAUGAUGAUACAAGUUGAAGACACAGCACUCUGAAAUUGGAAGACCUCACCACUUAAGGCUCCGCAGCGGCUUACUCAGCUGAACUCCAGGUUACUA
rnacentral:lncRNA from 1 species